rnacentral:tRNA from 1 species
GGCUUUGUAGUUUAAGGAAAAUAUUAAAUUGCAAAUUUAAAGUUAGAAUAACUCUUAAAGUCU